rnacentral:rRNA from 1 species
UUACAGCCUUGCUGAAUUAUUCACCCUUGUCUUUUGCGUACUUCUUGUUUCCUUGGUGGGUUCGCCCACCACUAGGACAAACAUAAACCUUUUGUAAUUGCAAUCAGCGUCAGUAACAAAUUAAUAAUUACAACUUUCAACAACGGAUCUCUUGGUUCUGGCAUCGAUGAAGAACGCAGCGAAAUGCGAUAAGUAGUGUGAAUUGCAGAAUUCAGUGAAUCAUCGAAUCUUUGAACGCACAUUGCGCCCUUUGGUAUUCCAAAGGGCAUGCCUGUUCGAGCGUCAUUUGUACCCUCAAGCUUUGCUUGGUGUUGGGCGUCUUGUCUCUAGCUUUGCUGGAGACUCGCCUUAAAGUAAUUGGCAGCCGGCCUACUGGUUUCGGAGCGCAGCACAAGUCGCACUCUCUAUCAGCAAAGGUCUAGCAUCCAUUAAGCCUUUUUUCAACUUUUGACCUCGGAUCAGGUAGGGAUACCCGCUGAACUUAAGCAUAU